UACGUAGGGUGCAAGCGUUGUCCGGAAUUAUUGGGCGUAAAGAGCUCGUAGGCGGUUUGUCGCGUCGGCUGUGAAAACUCGGGGCUCAACCCCGAGCCUGCAGUCGAUACGGGCAGACUAGAGUGCUGUAGGGGAGACUGGAAUUCCUGGUGUAGCGGUGAAAUGCGCAGAUAUCAGGAGGAACACCGGUGGCGAAGGCGGGUCUCUGGGCAGUAACUGACGCUGAGGCGCGAAAGCGUGGGGAGCAAACGGG
rnacentral:rRNA from 1 species